UGGGGAAUAUUGGACAAUGGGCGAAAGCCUGAUCCAGCCAUGCCGCGUGUGUGAAGAAGGUCUUCGGGUUGUAAAGCACUUUAAGUUGGGAGGAAGGGCAUUAACCUAAUACGUUAGUGUUUUGACGUUACCGACAGAAUAAGCACCGGCUAACUCUGUGCCAGCAGCCGCGGUAAUACAGAGGGUGCAAGCGUUAAUCGGAAUUACUGGGCGUAAAGCGCGCGUAGGUGGUUUGUUAAGUUGGAUGUGAAAUCCCCGGGCUCAACCUGGGAACUGCAUUCAAAACUGACUGACUAGAGUAUGGUAGAGGGUGGUGGAAUUUCCUGUGUAGCGGUGAAAUGCGUAGAUAUAGGAAGGAACACCAGUGGCGAAGGCGACCACCUAGACUAAUACUGACACUGAGGUGCGAAAGCGUGGGGAGCAAACA
rnacentral:rRNA from 1 species